rnacentral:lncRNA from 1 species
CUUUUGCAUAGUUUGCCUCAAAUCUUUCACAAAUUGCACAGUUAAGAUGCAAAGGAUAUGCUGAGAGCAUACAACUGAGUGGAUAAUCUGUACGAAACAUAUGGUAUCUGACAAAAUACCAUACAUUGAAUAUCUAAAAAAACAUAAAUAGAAACAGAUGAUACUUUUCUAGUUCAGAACCAUCAUAGAAGUACCAAAACAGUCUAAAACAGUUUCACAAGCAUCAUACAUCCAAUAAAGAAACAUAGUCCUAAGAAAUCUUAACACACUCAUUGAAGAUAUACACAACCAACUUGUUUCUGAUGUCUUCUGAAUCUAUAUCACACAGCUUGGAGAAAUCUUCAAUUCUCUGAUUCUCUGAAACUCUGUAGGA